GACGAACGCUGGCGGCGUGCUAACCCAUGCAAGUCGAACGGAAAGGCCCUGCUUUUGUGGGGUGCUCGAGUGGCGAACGGGUGAGUAACACGUGAGUAACCUGCCCUUGACUUUGGGAUAACUUCAGGAAACUGGGGCUAAUACCGGAUAGGAGCUCCUGCUGCAUGGUGGGGGUUGGAAAGUUUCGGCGGUUGGGGAUGGACUCGCGGCUUAUCAGCUUGUUGGUGGGGUAGUGGCUUACCAAGGCUUUGACGGGUAGCCGGCCUGAGAGGGUGACCGGCCACAUUGGGACUGAGAUACGGCCCAGACUCCUACGGGAGGCAGCAGUGGGGAAUAUUGCACAAUGGGCGGAAGCCUGAUGCAGCAACGCCGCGUGCGGGAUGACGGCCUUCGGGUUGUAAACCGCUUUCGCCUGUGACGAAGCGUGAGUGACGGUAAUGGGUAAAGAAGCACCGGCUAACUACGUG
rnacentral:rRNA from 1 species